AUGUAAUCUGUCUUUCAAAAAGGACACUGGACACCCCCAGCAUCAUAUUCAUCACAGCAGCAUGUGGAUGACAGCCAUGGAGGGUAGAAAUCCAAGGACUCCGGCAGGAAAACAAAUCACUGAAGUAAGACAGGACAGAAAUGCAAAGACUCCAGCAGGAAAAAACAGAGCCCUGAGGGAAGAAGUUAAGGUGCUAGCAGGCAAGCAGGUCAGUGGGCUAUUGGACACUUGAGAUGGAUAACAAGAUUAGUACCUUGUUAGCCUAUCAACAGGCCAAUGGGUCGGAGAUUUGUCCUUGCCUGAUCUUAAUCUCCCGAUGGCGGACCGGCAAGGCCUGGAGCUGCUGGAGACCAAGCUGUCAUAUUAUAGCCAUGGCUUUUUUCUGUAACAUAAGGCAUUAAUAUUAAAUGUAAAUCUGUCAUCCUUAUUUACAGGCUGUGAUAAUAAAAGUAUAUAAAAUAUAGGGGUUGGGGAGGGAAACAUGUUCAAAUAGUGUGUUAUUUCUAAUAGUUUUACAUUUGUAGCUUAGGUGUUUGGCUUUAAAGGGUGCCAAGGUCCUGCAGUCGACAACGUGGCAGAUGCUACCUUGCAUUCUGUCAAACUGGCUUGCCAUCGUCACAACCUGGACUGGUGCAGGGGAUAAGGCCUGUAUCAAAUACUUGUUUUUCUUAAGACUAUUCUUCACAGUAAGUUUUGAUAUGAUUAAAUGUUACCUUUAAGAAAAAUAAUUUUUAAAACUUGUGUAAGACCUUGAGCAAUUCACAUGUAACUCAAUGUUGUUUUGUUGUGUAUAAGAGCCAUUUGGAAGAAUCCUGCAACCCUGGAUGCCACGGAUGAAGGGGUUCAGAUUCAGGUCACGCAUUGUCUGAAAGGGGCCUCUGAUCGAGAAGGUUUCACACAGUGGAGAAGGACCCGCUGCAGUGAGGGUCAACAUCAAAUCUCGGAUCACCUAUCUCAAAGCCAGCCUCCACCCCCAAGCCACAAGACUGUUCCAACAGCUGAACCCUGGGCUGACUACCCCACCCUACCACACACUUAACAUUUAUUCAUAGACUACCGGAAAAAUGCAAUAUGCUUUAAUUAUAAUUAUAUGCUGCUAUUGCACUGUUGUUAUUAUGCACAUUGGCAAACAAUGUCCAUAAUAUAUGCCUGUGGACUAUUUUUGUUUUAUCUUAUUUUCUUUGAUCUCCAUGUUUCUUUUGAAUUUGAUUUAGUUUAGUCUUAUUUGUAGUAUAUUUAUAA